GACAGAGGAUGCAAGCGUUAUCCGGAUGAUUGGGCUAAGCGUCUGUAGGUGGCUUUUAAGUCCGCCGUCAAAUCCCGAGGGCUCAACCCUCGGCAGGCGGUGGAAACUACCAAGCUGGAGUACGGUAGGGGCAGAGGGAAUUUCCCGGGUGGAGCGGGUGAAAUGCCGUAGAGAUCGGAAGAACACCAACGGCGAAAGCACUCUGCUGGCCGACACUGACACUGAGAGACG
rnacentral:rRNA from 1 species